AAACCGCUCAUCCCUGUAUCUCGGCAUUAACUUAAAUGCAAUGAAUGUUUUUGGUAACUGAAAUAGAGAUGAGAUCUCACUUCUGCAAUCCAAACCUCCCAGCUUUUGGGGUAAUUCACUUCCCUGCCAAAGGGGCUUCCUUUUUCUUCGUUUUGUAACUGAGAUUUCAAAGUAAUUUUUAAUGACAACUCAACAUUCGAAGAACAACGGGUCCCCAGUUGGUGGCGCAGUUUCUGCUCACAUGAGUGCAAGAAAACUAUGUGCACGCCAGAAAAAUAUUGGCUUACGGCGGCUGGGAAUAUUUGGCUUGCAACAGAUGCAGUAGGAAAGUUUUUGGUGAUGAAGGUGACCAUUAUGUACAAAGUGUGAAGCCAAAAUCAAGUAACGCCUGCCAAGCUAGCAUAUGGGUUUGGGUACUAUUUCAUCAUAAGGGUGAAAGAUACGAGUUAGAACUUGGAACAUAUAUAUAUACCUAAAGAAAUUCCGUAUUUCACAAGGUAUGAUCUCAAGGCAAUCAAAUAUUUAAAUUGUUGUUGGGAAGAAAAAAAAGCUUGAAAAAACUCAGCAUUGACUGCAAUCAAGCGAAUCUAAGUAGAACUUCAAAGGAAAAAAGAAUUCAACGAUGGUUGAGCCAUUGGGCAUUUGAGCAGAUUUUGAAUAUUGUCAUAUAACAAUAUGCCGUUUAACAUGAAGAAUAGGCGCUCCAAGCUUCACAUUGACAAAGAUACGAAACCUUUUCUGUAAACCAGCAGCGCAAGCACUCUCAAAUUACUGGCAACUGUAAAGACCUAUACCAAUUUCAAAAUCGGUUGAAGGAGCAUCCCAGAAAAGUGUAGCUUGGAAAUGAUGUCAAACGGCCUACUGAAGUUUUAGACCAUAUAUCAAGAUUGAUCAAUGCAGCAGUGGUUCAACUUUGUGGCUGACAUGAAUGUUUUAGUGUUAUUAUUUGUUGUGUUUUUGCUCAACUUUGGUGCUGAGGCGGCAACAUUAAGCAUACAUAAUCUCGACUUCUAUGAAUAAUGGGUUCUAAAUGGGUUCCAUAUACCAAUACUCAA